rnacentral:rRNA from 1 species
GACGAACGCUGGCGGCGUGCUUAACACAUGCAAGUCGAACGGAAAGGCCCUGCUUUUGUGGGGUGCUCGAGUGGCGAACGGGUGAGUAACACGUGAGUAACCUGCCCUUGACUUUGUGAUAACUUCAGGAAACUGGGGCUAAUACCGGAUAGGAGCUCCUGCUGCAUGGUGGGGGUUGGAAAGUUUCGGCGGUUGGGGAUGGACUCGCGGCUUAUCAGCUUGUUGGUGGGGUAGUGGCUUACCAAGGGUUUGACGGGUAGCCGGCCUGAGAGGGUGACCGGCCACAUGGGGACUGAGAUACGGCCCAGACUCCUACGGGAGGCAGCAGUGGGGAAUAUUGCAGAAUAGGCGGAAGCCUGAUGCAGAAACGCCGCGUGCGGGAUGACGGCCUUCGGGUUGUAAACCGCUUUCGCCUGUGACGAAGCGUGAGUGACGGUAAUGGGUAAAGAAGCACCGGCUAACUACGUG